GCUGUCGUCAGCUCGUGUCGUGAGAUGUUGGGUUAAGUCCCGUAACGAGCGCAACCCUUGUCCUUAGUUACCAGCACGUCAUGGUGCGGCACUCUAAGGAGACUGCCGGUGACAAACCGGAGGAAGGUGGGGAUGACGUCAAGUCAUCAUGGCCCUUACGGCCUGGGCUACACACGUGCUACAAUGGUCGGUACAGAGGGUUGCCAAGCCGCGAGGUGGAGCUAAUCCCAUAAAACCGAUCGUAGUCCGGAUCGCAGUCUGCAACUCGACUGCGUGAAGU
rnacentral:rRNA from 1 species